rnacentral:rRNA from 1 species
UACGUAGGGUCCGAGCGUUGUCCGGAGUUACUGGGCGUAAAGCGUGCGCAGGCGGUGAUGUAAGACAGUUGUGAAAUCCCCGGGCUCAACCUGGGAACUGCAUCUGUGACUGCAUUGCUGGAGUGCGGCAGAGGGGGAUGGAAUUCCGCGUGUAGCAGUGAAAUGCGUAGAUAUGCGGAGGAACACCGAUGGCGAAGGCAAUCCCCUGGGCCUGCACUGACGCUCAUGCACGAAAGCGUGGGGAGCGAACAGG